GAUCAAGCGAAUAAGUGCAUGUGGUGGAUGCCUUGGCGAUUACAGGCGAAGAAGGACGUGCAAGCCUGCGAAAAGCUCUGGGGAGCUGGCAAUGAAGCUUUGAUCCAGAGAUAUCCGAAUGGGGAAACCCACUCCGCAAGGAGUAUCCCAUCCUGAAUACAUAGGGAUGAGGAAGCGAACCCGGUGAACUGAAACAUCUAAGUAGCCGGAGGAAAAGAAAUCAACCGAGAUUCCCAAAGUAGUGGCGAGCGAAAUGGGAACAGCCUGCAAGUAAUAAUCAAACUGUUAGCGGAAGCCUCUGGAAAGUGGCGCCGUAGUGGGUGAAAGCCCCGUACGCGAAAACGGAUUGGUGGUACUAAGCUUGCGACAAGUAGGGCGGGGCACGAGAAACCUUGUCUGAACAUGGGGGGACCAUCCUCCAAGGCUAAAUACUCGUAAUCGACCGAUAGUGAACCAGUACCGUGAGGGAAAGGCGAAAAGAACCCCGGGAGGGGAGGAAAUAGAUCCUGAAACCGCAUGCAUACAAACAGUGGGAGCCCCUUCGUGGGGUGACUGCGUACCUUUUGUAUAAUGGGUCAGCGACUUACGUUCAGUAGCGAGCUUAACCGAAUAGGGGAGGCGUAGGGAAACCGAGUCUGAUAAGGGCGCCUAGUUGCUGGACGUGACCCGAAACCAAGUGAUCUAUCCAUGGCCAGGAUGAAGGUGCGGUAACACGCACUGGAGGUCCGAAACCCACUAAUGUUGAAAAAUUAGGGGAUGAGCUGUGGAUAGGGGUGAAAGGCUAAACAAACUUGGAAAUAGCUGGUUCUCUCCGAAAACUAUUUAGGUAGUGCCUCACGUAUCACCUUCGGGGGUAGAGCACUGUUAUGGCUAGGGGGUCAUCGCGACUUACCAAACCAUUGCAAACUCCGAAUACCGAAGAGUGCGAGCGUGGGAGACAGACAUCGGGUGCUAACGUCCGGUGUCGAGAGGGAAACAACCCAGACCGCCGAUUAAGGUCCCCAAGACAUAGUUAAGUGGGAAACGAGGUGGGAAGGCUCAGACAGCCAGGAGGUUGGCUUAGAAGCAGCCAUCCUUUAAAGAAAGCGUAAUAGCUCACUGGUCGAGUCGUCCUGCGCGGAAGAUGUAACGGGGCUCAAACUAUGCACCGAAAUCGCGGGUCAGAGGACAGAAGACAGAUGACAGAAGACAGAUUUCAGACGACAGAAGACGGAAGACAGAGGACAGAUAUGAACGAACCCACCAUACGGGAUGUAGAAGAUUUGACGGUCUAUGGAAAAGCGUAUGCCGUUUCAUUGGAAAUACAUCGUGCCAGUUUGGCGUUCCCCAAAAUUGAACAAUAUGCGUUGGCUGACCAAAUGCGUCGAGCCAGCAAGAGCGUAUGUGCGAAUUUGGCGGAAGGCUUUGGCAAACAAAGCAUCUCAAAACCGGAAUUCAAGCGCUAUGUACUGAUGGCGAUGGGUUCGGCCGAUGAAAUGCGCGUAUGGGUAAGAUACAGUCAGGAUUUAGGUUACAUCUCGGGCAAACAAGCCGAUGUUUGGCGUAAUGAAUACCAGACCAUCGCGAAAAUGCUCAAUGGCCUGCAUGCCAAAUGGGGAUAACCGAAAUUCAUGCACUGCACGGUAGUUUGUUUUUAUCUGUCCUCUGUCUUCCGUCCUCUGUCCUCUGAACUGUCCUCAGUCCUCUGUCUUCUGUCCUCUGACGGUAGGAGAGCGUUCUGUAGGCCGUUGAAGGUGUCUGGUAACGGAUGCUGGAGGUAUCAGAAGUGCGAAUGCUGACAUAAGUAGCGAUAAAGGGCGUGAAAGCGCCCUCGCCGAAAGCCUGAAGGUUUCCUGCGCAACGUUCAUCGGCGCAGGGUGAGUCGGCCCCUAAGGCGAGGCAGAAAUGCGUAGUCGAUGGGAAACAGGUUAAUAGUCCUGUACCUCUUUGUAAUGCGAUGGGGGGACGGAGAAGGUUAGGUCAGCCGGGUGUUGGACGUCCCGGUUCAAGCGUGUAGUCGUGCCUGGUAGGCAAAUCCGCCGGGCUUAGAUGAGGCGUGAUAACGAGUGGUCUUGUACCGCGAAGUGAUUGAUACCCUGCUUCCAAGAAAAGCCUCUAAGCUUCAGUUAUGAAGAGACCGUACCGCAAACCGACACAGGUGGGCAGGAUGAGAAUUCUAAGGCGCUUGAGAGAACUCAGGAGAAGGAACUCGGCAAAUUAGCACCGUAACUUCGGGAUAAGGUGCGCCCUGGUAGAUUGAAGGCCCUCGCGGCUGGAGGUCGAAAGGGUUGCAGUGAAAUGGUGGCUGCGACUGUUUAAUAAAAACACAGCACUCUGCAAACACGAAAGUGGACGCAUAGGGUGUGACGCCUGCCCGGUGCCGGAAGGUUAAGUGAUGGGGUGCAAGCUCUUGAUCGAAGCCCCGGUAAACGGCGGCCGUAACUAUAACGGUCCUAAGGUAGCGAAAUUCCUUGUCGGGUAAGUUCCGACCUGCACGAAUGGCGUAACGAUGGCCACACUGUCUCCUCCUGAGACUCAGCGAAGUUGAAAUGUUUGUGAAGAUGCAAUCUCCCCGCGGCAAGACGGAAAGACCCCAUGAACCUUUACUGUAGCUUUGCAUUGGACUUUGAACCGGUCUGUGUAGGAUAGGUGGGAGGCUUUGAAGCGUGGACGCUAGUUCGCGUGGAGCCAACCUUGAAAUACCACCCUGGUUUGUUUGAGGUUCUAACCAUGGCCCGUGAAUCCGGGUCUGGGACCGUGCAUGGUAGGCAGUUUGACUGGGGCGGUCUCCUCCCAAAGCGUAACGGAGGAGUACGAAGGUACGCUAGGUACGGUCGGACAUCGUGCUAAUAGUGCAAUGGCAUAAGCGUGCUUGACUGCGAGACUCACACGUCGAGCAGGUACGAAAGUAGGUCAUAGUGAUCCGGUGGUUCUGUAUGGAAGGGCCAUCGCUCAACGGAUAAAGGUACUCUGGGGAUAACAGGCUUAUACCGCCCAAGAGUUCAUAUCGACGGCGGUGUUUGGCACCUCGAUGUCGGCUCAUCACAUCCUGGGGCUGUAGCCGGUCCCAAGGGUAUGGCUGUUCGCCAUUUAAAGUGGUACGUGAGCUGGGUUUAAAACGUCGUGAGACAGUUUGGUCCCUAUCUGCCGUGGGCGCUGGAAAUUUGAAGGACCUGCUCCUAGUACAAGAGGACCGGAGUGGACGAACCUCUGGUAUACCGGUUAUGACGCCAGUCGUAUCGCCGGGUAGCUAAGUUCGGAAGAGAUAAACGCUGAAAGCAUCUAAGCGUGAAACUCGCCUUAAGAUAAGAUUUCCUGGGGACUCGAUCCCCUGAAGGGUCGUCGAAGACCACGACGUUGAUAGGCUGGGUGUGGAAGCGCAGUAAUGCGUUAAGCUAACCAGUACUAAUUGCCCGUGCGGCUUGAUCCU
rnacentral:rRNA from 1 species